rnacentral:rRNA from 1 species
GACGAACGCUGGCGGCGUGCCUAAUACAUGCAAGUUGAGCGCUGAAGGUUGGUCCUUGUACCAACUGGAUGAGCAGCGAACGGGUGAGUAACGCGUGGGGAAUCUGCCUUUGAGCGGGGGACAACAUUUGGAAACGAAUGCUAAUACCGCAUAAAAACUUUAAACACAAGUUUUAAGUUUGAAAGAUGCAAUUGCAUCACUCAAAGAUGAUCCCGCGUUGUAUUAGCUAGUUGGUGAGGUAAAGGCUCACCAAGGCGAUGAUACAUAGCCGACCUGAGAGGGUGAUCGGCCACAUUGGGACUGAGACACGGCCCAAACUCCUACGGGAGGCAGCAGUAGGGAAUCUUCGGCAAUGGACGAAAGUCUGACCGAGCAACGCCGCGUGAGGGAAGAAGGUUGUCGGAUCGUAAAACUCUGUUGGUAGAGAAGAGCGUUGGUGAGAGUGGAAAGCUCAUCAAGUGACGGUAACUACCCAGAAAGGGACGGCUAACUACGUG